GCGGUCUUGGCCUAACGGUUAAGGCACCCGAGUAUCACUUCUGUGGUCCUGGAUUCGACUCCCCGUGGAAGUG